rnacentral:tRNA from 1 species
GCCGGAGUGGCGGAAUUGGUAGACGCGCACGACUCAAAAUCGUGUCUCGCAAGGGGUGGGAGUUCGAUUCUCCCCUCCGGCA